rnacentral:rRNA from 1 species
UGAGGAAUAUUGGUCAAUGGGCGAGAGCCUGAACCAGCCAAGUAGCGUGCAGGAUGACGGCCCUAUGGGUUGUAAACUGCUUUUAUGCGGGGAUAAAGUGAGGCACGUGUGCCUUUUUGCAUGUACCGCAUGAAUAAGGACCGGCUAAUUCCGUG